rnacentral:lncRNA from 1 species
CCCCAGGGCCACACCUUCCCCUGGGCUCUACUAUUCUUUUUUUUUUUUUUUUUUCGAGACAGGGUCUUGCUGUUGCCCAGGCUGGAAUGAGUGCAGUGGUACAAACUUAGCUUACUGCAGCCUCAACCUGGGCUCAAACAAUCCUUCUGCCUCACCCUCCCAUGUAGCUCAGACCACAUGCGCAUGCCACCAGUCUGGGCUAAUUUUUUGACUUUGUAGAGACGGGGUCGCACUUUGUUUCCCAGGGUGCUCCCGAAUUCCUUGGCUCAAGUGAUCCUCCCACCUCAGCCCCCCACAGUGCUGGGAUUAUAGGUGUGAUCCACCACCCCUGGCCUCUCUCACAUUCUUGACAUUUAAAGUUACCAUCAUUGACAAGGAACAUGGGUACACUCCAAUUUACUCAAGAAAAAGCUCUUUUCUCCAUUGAAGAGAUAUGUGGCCUAACUGCUUCCUACUCUAGUUGAGUCUUCUUGUUGUUUCCUUUUUCUUCUUCUCUCUUGUUUUUUAGAGACGAGGUCCUGCUGUGUUGCCCAGGCUGGUCUCAAAGUUCUACCCUCAAGAGACCCUCCUGCCUUGUCCUCCCAAAGUGUUGGGAUUACAGGUGUGAGCCACUCUGUCCAGCCUCAAACUGUGGUCAUUAGAUCAGCAGCAGUAGCAGCCUUGCCUGGGAGCUUGUUAGAAAUAUACUAACAGGCUCCCACCCCCAAACCCAGACCUACUGAAUCAGACAGAGUUAGCUUUCUUUGUUUUUGUUUUAUAUUUUGAGCUAUAAUAUUCAAUUUCUACACUUCAGAAUAAAAAGAGCCACAAUUUAUGAUUCAUAUUUUUUGUAGCUGCUUCCCUAUGCUUUUGAACAAUGUAAUCAUAUUUUCAUUAUCAGAUAUAAUUCCCAUACCAUAAUAUCCACCCUUUUUUUCAUCACCCAAAAAAGAAACUCUGUACCCAAUAAAGAGUCACUCCCCAUUCCCCUCUUCCCCUAGCCCCUGGUUACCAUUCAUCUACUUUCUACCUCUGUGGAUAGGAAGUAGCUGCCUAUUCUGGAGAUUUCAUUCAAAUGGAAUAAUGAAAUAUGUGACCUUUUAUGACUGGCUUCUUUCAUUUAGCAUAAUGGUGUCAAGGUUCAUCCAUGUUGUAGCAUAUAACGGUACUUCAUCCCUUCUUAUGGCUGAAUAAUAUUCAAUUUUAUGGACUUUUUAGCAAAACAUUCUAAUUUUUACUUCUCUACUGUGCUUAUUGUUUGUCUUUCUCCACAACAAUGUGAGCACUAAAGGCAGACAUUUUUGCCUAUUUUGUUCACUACUGCUUUUUCUGCACCAAAAGCAUUGCCUGGUUGUGGGUACUUUUCUAGUUUUAGGAAGGAGAAGACAAGAUAUAGGUCCUGACUCUGGUUCUGCCUCUCAUUCAUAUGCUACUCUGAGGAUCCCUUCCCCUUGAAGAACUUGUUUCUUCAUCUACAAAAUGGGGAUAAUACUACUACUCAUCAGGGUGGUUGUGAGGAUUAAACAAGGUAAGAGAUGUAAAAUUGCAUGUUAGUUAUCAGAUAGAUUUGUGUUCCCAUCUAGCUCCAACGAGGGAGAGGAUUUGCUCUAGUCUGUCCCUCCGGGCUCUGGGCUUCUAAUGGGCAGACAGCUUCCUCCAUGAUGUUUGUAGCUGUAAAGCCUGGCAUAGUCCCUCAAGACAAGUUUUUUUUUUUUUUGAGUCGGAGUAUCGCUCUAUCACCAGGCUGGAGUACAGUGGUGCGAUCUUGGCUCACUGCAAUCGCCGCUUCCUGGGUUCAAGUGAUUCUCCUGCCUCAGCCUCCCAAGUAGCUGGAAUUACAGGCACACGCCACCACACUCAGCUAAUUUUAAGACAGGCUUUUGGAUUUGAACUGCUGAUGGUCUUCCAUGAACAAUUCAACAGAAACCCAGUAGCGCACACUUCCUUGUAUGCACUUGCUCCCUCUCUUUACAUUUAUUACACAUUUAAUGCUACCUAAUAAUUCCCUAUACUUAUCUUUUACUUUAUCCAAUCAUUCAACAGAUUCCAACCGAAAUACAUAGAAGAGUGAUAUUCCAACUUCAUCAGACCCUGAGAUUCUAUUUUUAACAUUUCUUCCAUGGAUUGUUGAAUGUUUCCAAUGAUUGAUCCACCUUCCCUUGGCCUUUUCUACAUUACAGAUUUGGUUGCAUGUCCUUGUCUAUGUUGCCAAACUUGCCUCAUAGACCCAGCUUGAACACAAGAUGGGUGCUUGCUGAAGAGCAGGACUCAUUCUGUUGAACCUGCAUGUUUUCUCAGGUCAGAUUGCUUGGUGGCACUUCUUUAAUUUCUUUCAACAGCACAUUGUAGUUUGCUGUGUUGAAGUGUUGCUUUUCUUUGGUUAAAUUUAUUCUAACUAUUCCUCCCGAGUAGCUGGGACUACAGGCAUGCGCCACCACGCCCAGCUAAUUUUUGUAUUUUUAGUAGAGACGGGGUUUCACCAUAUUGGACAGGCCGGUCUCAAACUCCUGACCUCAUGAUCUGCCUGCCUCAGCCUCCCAAAGUGCUGGGAUUACAGGUGUGAGCCACUGUGCCCAGCCUUGAACUUGUUUAUUAGCUCUAAUGGUUAAGUGAGUUCCUUAAGAAUUCCUAUAAUGUCAUCUGUGAAUAGAGAUGGUUUUACUUCUUUCUUUCUGAUCUAGAUUCCACCUUGUUCCUUUUUCUUGCCUAAUUGCCCUAAUAAGUAGAAGUAGUGUGAAUGAACAUUCUUGUCCUGUUCCUGAUCUUAGGGGGGAAAUGCUCCAUCUUUCACAAUGAGUGAAGUGUGGUGUUAGUUAUAGGUUUUUCAUAGAUGCUUUUUGCCAAGUUGAGGAAGUUCCUUUCUCAUCUUCAUCUGCUGAGUAA